GAUGAACGCUGGCGGCGUGCCUAAUACAUGCAAGUCGAGCGAAUGGAUUAAGAGCUUGCUCUUAUGAAGUUAGCGGCGGACGGGUGAGUAACACGUGGGUAACCUGCCCAUAAGACUGGGAUAACUCCGGGAAACCGGGGCUAAUACCGGAUAACAUUUUGAACCGCAUGGUUCGAAAUUGAAAGGCGGCUUCGGCUGUCACUUAUGGAUGGACCCGCGUCGCAUUAGCUAGUUGGUGAGGUAACGGCUCACCAAGGCAACGAUGCGUAGCCGACCGGAGAGGGUGAUGCGCCACAGUGGGACUGAGACACGGCCCAGACUCCGACGGGAGGCAGCAGUAGGGAAUCUUCCGCAAUGGACGAAAGUCUGACGGAGCAACGCCGCGUGAGUGAUGAAGGCUUUCGGGUCGUAAAACUCUGUUGUUAGGGAAGAACAAGUGCUAGUUAAUAAGCUGGCACCUUGACGGUACCUAACCAGAAAGCCACGGCUAACUACGUGCCAGCCGCCGCCGUAA
rnacentral:rRNA from 1 species